CCUACGGGAGGCAGCAGUGGGGGAUAUUGGACAAUGGGGGAAACCCUGAUCCAGCGACGCCGCGUGAGUGAAGAAGUAUUUCGGGAUGUAAAGCUCUAUCAGCAGGGAAGAAAGAAAUGACGGUACCUGAGUAAGAAGCCCCGGCUAACUACGUGCCAGCAGCCGCGGUAAUACGUAGGGGGCAAGCGUUAGCCGGAAUUACUGGGUGUAAAGGGAGCGUAGACGGUAAUGGAAGUCUGGAGUGAAAGGCGGGGGCCCAACCACCGGACUGCUCGUGAAACUGUGUAACUGGAGUGCAGGGGAGGCAGGCGGAAUGCCUAGUGUAGCGGUGAAAUGCGUAGAUAUUA
rnacentral:rRNA from 1 species